AAGGCUUGACAUAUGCCGGAAAACCCUGUCUCCAGGGUUUUCCGGCAUAUGUCAAGCCUUGGUAAGGUUCUUCGCGUUGCGUCGAAUUAAGCCACAUGCUCCGCCGCUUGUGCGGGCCCCCGUCAAUUCCUUUGAGUUUUAGCCUUGCGGCCGUACUCCCCAGGCGGGGAACUUAAUGCGUUAGCUGCGGCACGGACCACGUGGAAUGUGACCCACACCUAGUUCCCAACGUUUACGGCGUGGACUAC
rnacentral:misc_RNA from 1 species